GAGCGCGUAGCUCAGUUGGAAGAGCAUUGGGCUAGUAUUCCAAAGGUCGUAGGUUCGAAUCCCACCGUGGCCG
rnacentral:tRNA from 1 species